GCGGCCUCAGAUCAGACGAGACGACCCGCUGAACUUAAGCAUAUCACUAAGCGGAGGAAAAGAAACUAACCAGGAUUCCCUCAGUAGCGGCGAGUGAAGAGGGAAGAGC
rnacentral:rRNA from 1 species